ensembl:lncRNA
AAUGAAACGCCAAAAAUACAAGACAAUAAGAAGAACGCUGAUGCAAAAUCACACACGUCAACUAGUGCACGUCGAUCUACGCGUUCUCAACUAUCUAUGGUCAACGUGGCUGCUGCUACGGCACGGGCAGAGGCGGAAGCAGCAAAAGCCAGAGCCUCCUUCAUCAGAAAGGAAAUUAACAUUAAAAUCGAAAAAGCUCGUCUAGAGGCAGAAUUAGAUGCGCUCAAGCAGGAAGCAGAAGCAGAGGCAGCUAUAGCGAAGGCCAUUGUCAUGGAAAAUGCUGCUGUCGAAUUAAGCUCUCAUGGGAGCCAGCGGGACAUUGAGUCAUUACCAUCGCAAAGUCCACAAGACAAAUCAUGUUGAAGAAGUACAUGUUGUAGUUAAUGCCAUCUCUAUCCAUCCGUCUUUGUUUGUUCAUGGGGCAUCGUCAUUUUACCUUUUCUUCAUUAAAAUUACCUGCCAAGUACAACACAUCGCCUGUUCAUUG